AUUGAACGCUGGCGGCAUGCUCUACACAUGCAAGUCGAACGGUAACAGGCCGCAAGGUGCUGACGAGUGGCGAACGGGUGAGUGAUGCAUCGGAACGUGCCCAGUCGUGGGGGAUAACUACUCGAAAGAGUAGCUAAUACCGCAUACGAUCUAUGGAUGAAAGCGGGGGACCGUAAGGCCUCGCGCGAUUGGAGCGGCCGAUGUCAGAUUAGGUAGUUGGUGGGGUAAAGGCUCACCAAGCCAACGAUCUGUAGCUGGUCUGAGAGGACGACCAGCCACACUGGGACUGAGACACGGCCCAGACUCCUACGGGAGGCAGCAGUGGGGAAUUUUGGACAAUGGGCGCAAGCCUGAUCCAGCAAUGCCGCGUGCAGGAAGAAGGCCUUCGGGUUGUAAACUGCUUUUGUACGGAACGAAACGGCUCUGGUUAAUACCCGGGGCUAAUGACGGUACCGUAAGAAUAAGCACCGGCUAACUACGUG
rnacentral:rRNA from 1 species